UACGUAGGGGGCAAGCGUUGUCCGGAAUCAUUGGGCGUAAAGAGCGUGUAGGCGGCCCGAUAAGUCCGCCGUGAAAGCCCAGGGCUCAACCCUGGGAUGCCGGUGGAUACUGUCGGGCUAGAGUUCGGAAGAGGCAAGUGGAAUUCCUGGUGUAGCGGUGAAAUGCGCAGAUAUCAGGAGGAACACCUAGUGGCGAAGGCAGCUUGCUGGGACGACACUGACGCUGAGACGCGAAAGCGUGGGGAGCGAACAGG
rnacentral:rRNA from 1 species